rnacentral:rRNA from 1 species
AGUGAACGCUGGCGGCAGGCCUAACACAUGCAAGUCGAGCGGCAGCGGGUCCUUCGGGAUGCCGGCGAGCGGCGGACGGGUGAGGAAUACAUCGGAAUCUGCCCUGUCGUGGGGGAUAACCUAGGGAAACUUAGGCUAAUACCGCAUACGACCUACGGGUGAAAGCGGGGGAUCGCAAGACCUCGCGCGACAGGAUGAGCCGAUGUCCGAUUAGCUAGUUGGCGGGGUAAAGGCCCACCAAGGCGACGAUCGGUAGCUGGUCUGAGAGGAUGAUCAGCCACACUGGGACUGGGACACGGCCCAGACUCCUACGGGAGGCAGCAGUGGGGAAUAUUGGACAAUGGGCGCAAGCCUGAUCCAGCCAUGCCGCGUGGGUGAAGAAGGCCUUCGGGUUGUAAAGCCCUUUUGUCCGGGAAGAAAUCGUCUGGGCUAAUACCCCGGGCGGAUGACGGUACCGGAAGAAUAAGCACCGGCUAACUUCGUG